CGAACGGGUGAGUAACACGUGAGCAACGUGCCCAAGACUCUGGAAUAACUUCGGGAAACCGGAGCUAAUACUGGAUACGAGACGCGAAGGCAUCUUCAGCGUCUGGAAAGAAUUUCGGUCUUGGAUCGGCUCACGGCCUAUCAGCUUGUUGGUGAGGUAAUGGCUCACCAAGGCGACGACGGGUAGCCGGCCUGAGAGGGUGACCGGCCACACUGGGACUGAGACACGGCCCAG
rnacentral:rRNA from 1 species